GCGGGAAUAGCUCAGUCGGUAGAGCACAACCUUGCCAAGGUUGGGGUCGCGAGUUCGAAUCUCGUUUCCCGCUCCA
rnacentral:tRNA from 1 species